GUGCUAGCUUCAGCAGCACAUAUACAAAAUUGAAUGAUAUAGAGAAAAUUAACAUGGCCCCUGAGCAAGGAUGAUAGACGAAUUUGUGAACCGGGUCUAUAUUUU
rnacentral:snRNA from 1 species